AUUGAACGCUGGCGGCAGGCUUAACACAUGCAAGUCGAGCGGAGAGAGGUAGCUUGCUACUGAUCUUAGCGGCGGACGGGUGAGUAAUGCUUAGGAAUCUGCCUAUUAGUGGGGGACAACAUUUCGAAAGGAAUGCUAAUACCGCAUACGUCCUACGGGAGAAAGCAGGGGAUCUUCGGACCUUGCGCUAAUAGAUGAGCCUAAGUCGGAUUAGCUAGUUGGUGGGGUAAAGGCCUACCAAGGCGACGAUCUGUAGCGGGUCUGAGAGGAUGAUCCGCCACACUGGAACUGAGGCACGGCCCAGACUCCUACGGGAGGCAGCAGUGGGGAAUAUUGGACAAUGGGCGCAAGCCGGAUCUAGCCAUGCCGCGUGUGUGAAGAAGGCCUUAUGGUUGUAAAGCACUUUAAGCGAGGAGGAGGCUACUUUAGAUAAUACCUAGAGAUAGUGGACGUUACUCGCAGAAUAAGCACCGGCUAACUCUGUGCCAGCAGCCGCAGUAACAC
rnacentral:rRNA from 1 species